UCAUUUCAGGGAGGAGCUCGAUCUCGACCUCCGAAGCCGACGCUUCACUCUGCCUCUUCCUAUCCGGCUACUUGAAGGUGAUCUCCGAUCUUCCACUAAUCCAGAGCUGGAUUUCUGGGUAAAACGUUGAUCUUCUCCUCGAUCCGUUCGUGAGCAAACAAGCUCGAUCAAAGCUAGGUCUUGUAAUUUUUGGUUAACAUUCCAUUCCCCUGCAUUUCCGUGUGCUUUGAGAUGUUCAUGAAAAACAUUAGGAGGCGAGGCUACGAAUUAGUGUCCGUUGUUUUUUUUUUGGUUCUCGAUUGACGAUUUAUUCCGGGGCUUCUCUGUUUAGGGUUUAGGAGGUUGUUGGCGAAUUUUCGACAAUCUUUGUAUUCUCAUUUUUAGGUGCAUAGGUUGCCCUCGAUUAAGCUUUAUUAGAGAUCUCGCAUCGUGUGAUUCGUCUACCCCGUGCCUCAGAUCAGCCGAUGAGCAGAUUUUCUGUCCGCAAAGCGACAGAAGAUUGAGAUAUGUCGUCAAGCGGGCUUCCUAUUAGCAAUUAACAUCACAAAAAUGUUGCAGUGGAUGGGAGGCUCGCGGAGAAAGGUGAAUGCUUCCAGAAAGUCAAUGCUUAACAAGCAAAAGCAUUACUUUGAACAAAGGAAACGUCAACUACAGAGAACUGGACUGGAUGAUCAUAUUGGUGUUAGUAGCAAAUGGCUUCAUUAUAAUGAGGAAGUGCGAUCCCUUGACAUAUUGAACUUCAUAAAUUUGGCUACAGUUACUCGUGAAGGUUGUUUAAAUUAGAGCAUUUAUGGGAUUAACACCUUUUGUGUGAUUGCGUAAAUUUUGUUAGCUCUUGGUAGUAUGAAGUUUAAUUCAUAAAAGAUUGAAAAUCGCAUUCCUGAAUUUUUGUAUACAAGCUUUUGUCCCCUGCAUAUACUUUUAUUUGCAAAAUAAUUUAGCACAUUCUGGUCAACUUGAAUGUUCUCAUUCUCAACUUAGUUCUAAAUUCUAUUGCUUAAAAAAACCGUAUUUUACUUUCCCUGACUAAUUGGACCUACCAUGUGAAAUUUUUAUUUCUGCUCAUUUUUUUCUAGGAACUAAUGGAAAUUUUUUUCUGAAUUCCAUUGCUUAAAAAACCUUAUUAGUUUGCUGCUAAUUGAUAAUAAUCUGAAGUCCUUACUUCUUAGUUUUGGGCAUAUUUGAUUCCUUAUCCUACAACUUUAUUCCUUACAUCUGAGCCAAAUGUUUUAGAAAUAAGUUUUCAAGGAUUAUAUUGGUCUAAAUAGGCAUGAAAAUAUUGUACUACUAUGUAACCAAUACUUGACUUCCAUUUCACUAAGUAAUCCUAUUCUUCUUAAAUGGAGAAACUAUUGUAAGCUUCUACCUUAUGUAUUUACAAUUGAACUCAACUUGUAAGGUUGUAUCCAAGUGGAGUUGUUUUAAAAUAUCAUUUUCUCCCAUGAAUUUUAGUUUGUGGUCAUUGGAAGAUUGGAUAUGUAGAAUUCAGUUGCAGCUUCAUAAAGCUUCUGUAGAGCUCUUUUUAAAUGAAAUGGUUUGUCAUUAUGCUAGAACAUUCCUAGUAAUAUAGCCUUGCAUAGACCUCAAUACAGGGAGAAGAUAUAUGUAUCCAAUUGACCCCAAAUAAUUGGAACAACAACUUGAAGAUGAUGGUGAUGAUUUUUAUGCUAUGUCCUGGAAGAAGUUUCUUAAGCUUGGAGUUUGUAUGUUUUACUAUAACAUAUAUUAGUUUGUUGUAAACAACAGUGAAGACUAUUUUGGGUGCUCUCAUUUUAUAUUUAUUUGAUGAUUGCUACCAGGUAAUCAACUAGAGACUACACGGGC